AUUGAACGCUGGCGGAAUGCUUUACACAUGCAAGUCGAACGGCAGCACGGGGCAACCUGGUGGCGAGUGGCGAACGGGUGAGUAAUACAUCGGAACGUGCCCAAUCGUGGGGGAUAACGUAGCGAAAGUUACGCUAAUACCGCAUACGAUCUACGGAUGAAAGCGGGGGAUCGCAAGACCUCGCGCGAAUGGAGCGGCCGAUGUCAGAUUAGGUAGUUGGUGGGGUAAAGGCUCACCAAGCCAACGAUCUGUAGCUGGUCUGAGAGGACGACCAGCCACACUGGGACUGAGACACGGCCCAGACUCCUACGGGAGGCAGAAGUGGGGAAUUUUGGACAAUGGGCGCAAGCCUGAUCCAGCCGUUCCGCGUGCAGGAUGAAGGCCUUCGGGUUGUAAACUGCUUUUGUACGGAACGAAACGGUUCUCUCUAAUACAGGGGGCUAAUGACGGUACCGUAAGAAUAAGCACCGGCUAACUACGUGCCAGCCGCCGCGGUAACAC
rnacentral:rRNA from 1 species